AUACGUAGGGGACAAGCGUUGUCCGGAAUCACUGGGCGUAAAGGGUGCGUAGGCGGUUUGCUAAGCGGGAGGUGAAAUGCCGGCGCUCAACGUCGGAAGUGCCUCCCGAACUGGUGGACUUGAAUGACUCUGCCGUGGGAGGAAUGUGUAGUGUAGCGGUGAAAUGCUUAGAGAUUACACAGAACACCGAUUGCGAAGGCAUCUCACGAAGGGUUGAUUGACGCUGAGGCACGAAAGCGUGGGGAUCAAACAGGAUUAGAUACCCUGGUAGUCCACGCAGUAAACGAUGAUGGCUAACCGCUGGGCUUAUCAGUUCAGUGGCCAAGCGAAAGCGAUAAGCCAUCCACCUGGGGAGUACGGCCGCAAGGUUGAAACUCAAAGGAAGUGACGGG
rnacentral:rRNA from 1 species